AUCUCACUGGAGAUCCCUGUGUGCCUGAGGCUUUCUGAAGAUUCCUCUCGUUCAUCAGAAUGGUUCAAGAUGCUGGGCAAAAUAAAGUCUGAUAUAUUAUAAUUCAAUGAAAAUUCAAUGGUUUCGUGGCAGCUGCAUUUCAUGGUUCUCUGCAAAACCACCUGGAAAACAUCCGUCCUCUGAAAGUGAUAUUCUUAAGAGGGCCUUGCAGACUCAGAUUUGCAGGUUGCUGAAUGCUGCUAAAUUGAAAACGACCUUAUUUGAAAGUAAAUGGAUGCCGUCAAUCCUUUAAGAAUAUCAAAAGCUACAGUACAAACAGCUCACAAAAUGUAAUGGGUGCCUGGAGAACCAGCUGUAAAGCUGCAGUGCUAGUGUAAUCUGUUGAAUUCUAGUCAUAUAGAAGAUUUUGCACAUCACUUUCAAAAUGGUGUUGUGCUGAAUGCCUAUUUUAAAACUUUACUGAAUAUAUGAUUACUUGUGCUAAUUGAAAGAGACAAGACCUACAUUUAUUGGAAUUGUGGUUAAAUACUCCCAGUACCCAUUUUCCCCCUAUGAAGUUGCCAAGGAGAAAACCACAUAUGUUAAGUUUUAAUCUGCUUUUCCCAAAUGUGGAUACAUUUAAAAGAUGGCUGAUAAAGUAUCAUUAGGAUUUUCCAAUGAUGGUUUAAAAUAAUAUACCUUUUAAAGAGGGAUAAUAAAUUAUGAAUGUUCAUGAUAAAGUCACUCAUGAAGUCUCUCAGGGUUCUGUCCAUGGACCUAUGUUAUUCUGCAUAAAUCUAUACACUUCUGAAUUACUCACAAAAGGAAUAAAUAAUAUCCAUCAUGCUUUUUGGUGAAACAAGUAUCCUUUUGUAACAAAUGAAUUUUUGGAAGCAAAAAAAAGCAAACAAAGACCCCACCACCCUUCAUUGAAACCAUUUUCAUAUCCAUCUCAUUAUUUUAAGCUAAAUUACUCAAGGAAAAUUAAGAUGUAAACAUAUUUGAAAUCAAUGGAAAACUUAAGGUGUUCUGUGUUUCUUUUUUGUUGCAUUAAUCUGCUAUGUAUUUCCAUCCAUCAUUUCUAGUGAUGCUUAAUGUUGCAAUUCAUAUCAUUAAUCUAUUCAAAGUAUUACACACAUAGCAUGUAAUAAUUAUCUGCUACAUCCUGUAGUAUUGGUUUCACUAACUGCUGCAUGAAAGGACAGAUAUCUCUGCACUGAUCUUACGUCUUUCACUCCUCAGGUGAUGUAAAGGAGCCAGAUGCCAGCUGUAAUUAAUAAGCAGAGAUUUUCUGUUGAUUAAAAGCUCUCAGCUGGAAUAAAGCAUACGGAGUUGGCUUCUGCUUCACAUGCUUGUGCUACUCUGACAUCAGAAGAGGGGCAAAAUCUUAAUCUCUUAAUCCUGCUAGUGUGUAAUGUCCUAUGAAAGACACGUGUUGCUAGGUCACUAGGGUCAUGGUGACUUGCCCAUGGAAUCAUGGAGCUGCAGUUAUUUUCUUGUUUUUCAUUUGUUCCAUUGAUGAGAUGAAGAAUGUAGAGGAGAACAUAACAUGGAAAUAUUUGCACUGUAUUGUUUUUCUGAGUAAUGCUGGUACAACUGGGGAAAAAAGUAAACAAUAUAUGGGUUAUAUGAAACCUCAUUUUCUAAAGUAUUUCUUCUACAUCUACAAAUAUGUGAUGAUCUCCUAAGUUGCCCUUCUCUAUGGGUUUCUCAAGCCACUAGUGUGCAUAUGUUUUCUGUUAAACUGUUUCCCUCUUUCUGCAUUACAGUAGAAGUUAAAGAAAGCAAGCGUGAAUUGGAUGAGAAAAUAGAAUGAAAAUUAGAAUCUUUAUUGAAAAUGUAAAAAUAAAACAUUCUGGGGAAACUUUUAUGGCUGUUCAGAAAGAAAAAGCAUCAGGUUUUAAUUUAUCUUUACUUUUAUAUAAUCUUCUAUUCAUUUCAAAUCACAGAGAAAGGAGCGUUUCUUCAAAGAAGUAAUUGCUCUCAAAGUUGGAAUGUGUCAUUUGUUUGAAGUAUUGUUGAAGACUUUUAAAAUGGGUUUCUUAAUCUUAUGAUUGAUGGCCAAGUGGUAACUAAAAUUUUUGGAAAUUGCAGCGUAAGAAAGAAAUUUAAACCGUUUUC
ensembl:lncRNA